GACGAACGCUGGCGGCGUGCUUAACACAUGCAAGUCGAACGGAAAGGCCCUGCUUUUGUGGGGUGCUCGAGUGGCGAACGGGUGAGUAACACGUGAGUAACCUGCCCUUGACUUUGGGAUAACUUCAGGAAACUGGGGCUAAUACCGGAUAGGAGCUCCUGCUGCAUGGUGGGGGUUGGAAAGUUUCGGCGGUUGGGGAUGGACUCGCGGCUUAUCAGCUUGUUGGUGGGGUAGUGGCUUACCAAGGCUUUGACGGGUAGGCGGCCUGAGAGGGUGACCGGCCACAAUGGGACUGAGAUACGGCCCAGACUCCUACGGGAGGCAGCAGUGGGGAAUAUUGCACAAUGGGCGGAAGCCUGAUGCAGCAACGCCGCGUGCGGGAUGACGGCCUUCGGGUUGUAAACCGCUUUCGCCUGUGACGAAGCGUGAGUGACGGUAAUGGGUAAAGAAGCACCGGCUAACUACGUG
rnacentral:rRNA from 1 species